CUGAACGGGGGCGGGAAGCGGGCAGCCAGGCGUGGGGGGCGGUGGCUAGCCCCGCAGGUCACAAAGCGGGACUCACGCUGCUCGCAGGGUGCGGUUGGCAAUGCCCAGCCAGCCACUCAGCUCGCAGCCCAGCAGCCGGCGUGAAGCGAGGCCAGGACAAAAGCAUGGCACAAAAGGGAGUCAGCUGGAACCUGCUGCUAAGGAAACUGAGAUGAGGGGACAGAUGGACGGAUACCAGGACAGACAGAUAGGACAAUGGAGGAACAGACAGAUGCCAAAGGCAGAGAGUGGGACAAUAGAAGGACAGAUCCCAUGGACAGACAGGUUCUGCAUGGGAGAAGCCAGUCAUCAGCUGGAUUUGGAAGGAUCCCAUGCCUCAGUGCCCUAUGAAGACGCACAGAACCUGAUUUUCAGAAGUGCUGAGCCCACCCAACUCCAGCGGAAGUCAGUGGGACUGCCACCUUCUCCCACUCCUCUCAGUUUAAGUGUUCUUUCAAUGCCUAUAAAUCUCUAUGAUGACACAAGGGAUUAUUACUUUAUUUAAAUACUAUUUUUACAGUGGAAAUAAGAUAUACAGUACAAAGCAUAAAACAAUCCAAAGGAGCAUUAAUCCUCAGUGUUAAAGUCAUAUAUAUCAGCAGGUUGUAACAGAAAACCAACAUUUCAUCUUUCAUCGUCAUUAGCCUUGAGUUCAGGUUGCUAGACUGCAACAUCCCAUCAAUACACAAAUGUACAAAGCAAGGAAAUAAGCAGUUAAGUCACUCAGCACCCCAUUCACACUCCACUCAUCACUUCCCUUUCUCAUCCUCUAUUACCUCCCUUCCAUCACCUCCACAGUUCUACCCUUAUCCGGAACAACAGGCUGCUUUACCUUCAACCACCAAUAUAGUACACCAGCACACUCAGUUUGUCAUAUUUUUACAUUCUGCCUAGUGCAUGUGCACAGACUUCAAACCUUUACAUUCUGCCUAGAUUUGCAUACCAAAUUCAGAAUAAUCACUAACAACAGAAAUCACUUGUGCACAAAAUUGUUCCUAAACAUUACGGAUAAAUUUAUUUUACAGUCACCAUUUAAAAUCUGAUGUUGUACCUCGCCUACUGACAAUACAAUGCUAUAUAUGGUGAGACUAAUGGAAACCAUACCAAUCCUGUAACCCAUGAUCAUAUAACCAGUAGAACCAGGCAGAGUUCAAGGGUGCCUGUGGGUUGUUCCCCAUAAGGGUGAAGAUAAUGUGGCCUGUGGGUUGUGGAAAGCAGAUAGCUGAGCUCAGAAAGGGAAAUGGAGUGCAGCUGAGGUGUCCAAUGCCGUAAUUGCUUAUUUCCUUGCUCUUUUCUGCUUUGUUUUGGUGGGGUGUGUAAUCUAAUAACCUUAACACAAAGUCAGCAAACUACUUUUGUAUGGAAAUAUAAUGAGGAAGAGUGAAUUUUUGUCAUUUUGACCCAUGCAUCCUGGUGACUCAUAAAUGAGAUGAAGCAGACAAUCUGGGAUUUCCUGGUCAGCCUGAUGUAAUCAUGAUGUCACAUCCACUGGGUGGAUCCCUGAAGAAUCUAUGGUCCAGAUUCAUUUGUGAUUCAAACAUUGUGCACAGCCCAUUCCCUGGGAUGCUCGUGGGGUAGUCUAGCAAAGUGCCACCUUUUAUAAUGGGCUAUGUCCUAGGGCAACAGUCCAGCCCUAUGAAAUCCUCCCUCAACCUUUGCCCACCCCAAAUUUUUACUAAAGAUACUUUGUACUGAUGCCUCUGAUGGAGAAACUAAAAUGUAAAUUUUACUCAAACUUUGUUUUGGAAAGGUUGAUUUGCCUGUGGACUUUUGUCAGGUUGUAUAAUUCUUCCACGGCAGGAUUCCAGUAAUGAUAUGUAUAGCCAAUUUUCUUUUAAAAUUCAAUUGUAGGUCUAGAAAAAGGAGCAACUUUGGUUUAGAAAAGGCACGUUUGCAGCCUUUUCCAUCUUUUUUAAUUAUGUAUUUUUUUAGAGGUGAGCACAGAAUCUAGACCUAAAAUUCUCUUCACAUAUGGCACAGCCAUUGGAUGAUAAUAGAUUUUGGACACAAUGGGCAGGGCCAUCCCUACUGGUGGGUGACAUGGACAACUGCCCAAGGCAUCACAGUUCGGGGGACACCUGGGGUCAAGAGGCUGCAGAAAAGCCAUGCCCACCUAGUAAGUGGGGGGAGAAGAUAAAGGGGGCUGCGGGGCGGGAAUCUGGCACUCACACACGUCCCCUCUCUGCCCUCCCCUGCAGUGGCUCCAUCCGUUGCUGCUCUGCCUGCUGAGUGGCUGCCCGCGGCUCAGGGAGCAGUAGGUAAAGGGCGCCAAAGAAAGUUCACCCAGGCAGCUGCGUCGGUGAAGGUCCCGCUCUCCGCCUAGCUACACCACCAGGUUGCCAGUUUCCCUAAGGCUGGCCCUGACACCUGGCCUAGCUUGUACUUCCUAAUGGAACCAGUUGUCUAUCCACUGAGCCAUCCAGCAUAUUUUGGUCUAUUUGAGACCAUCAGCAUGUUUUGCAUGGAUACUGAAAAAGCAACCAUGUAAAACAUGGAAUGUAAUGUCCACUGUGACCAUAUAUGGAGAAAUUCCAGCAUUCCCUAUAAUUAUGUGGUCAUAUAAGCAACUCCCCUCCCCGCCCCCCCACCUCAAUGUGAGCCACCUGGACACUGGACUCUUAUGAGUAAGGGACAUCGCACACCUGCUUACUCCUUUUAUGGAGCAUGCGGGUGGGAAAGAAGUGGAGCCUUGGCCCAUACUCCCUCUUCCUCUCCACACACACAUAGCAGGUUGGCCAACUGCAAAUGAAUUCCCCUCAGUGAGCAGGGAGGGACUAGUGGUAUCCCGAAUCACAAUCCAUUCCCUAGGAUGCUCAUGGGGUAGUCUAGCAAAGUGCCACCUUUUAUUAUGGGCUAUGUCCUAGGGCGACAGUCCAGCCCUAUGAAAUCCUCCCUCAACCUUUUCCCACCCCAAAUUCUUACUAAAGAUACUUGGAACCUGGGAACCUUAGAAUUUAACACAAUGUGCAUCAUGGCUUCUUUGCAUAGCUGUAAUUUUGUCUGCAUGAUUUCAUCUUUGAGAAUUAGUUUGUCAAGGUCAAAACAAAGCUAAAUUAGAAAAUACUUUCAUGAUCAGUCAGAGCAAAGGCUGCCUGCUUUAUUUAACUUAAUUCCAUUUACUUUUCAUCUGUCUGUAGCCAUUUCCUGCUUUAAAAGCUGUGGCUGCCUACAACUUGUAAAUCAGAUAAAGUCAUAAAAUCUGUUAAUAGCAACAUAAUCAUUUUAUGGGACAUGAUUACAGCGAGGCAAAUAGGAUAUUAUGGCUUUGGGGUAUGUACCAAUGAGAUAGGGCGAAAGAGACAGAGAAAUCCCGAAGAGAGAGUGCACACAUUUCUUAAAAAUCUCAGCCAGUGAGCUGGAAAAAAAAUUAAAUGGUAAAUUAAUCUGUUUAUGUAUUGAUGCACAAGAAUCAAAUGCAAUCUUCCAUUCAGAUCUUACUCAAAUGUCAUCCUUUAUGCAUUUUGCUUAGCUGAGUUAACUCUUUAAUCAAUGGCAAUUUGAAUAAAUGACAAAAAGGAUCAAAGAGUCAUUAUGCAUAACAAUUGCAUUUCAUUGACUGAGUAAAUGCAAUGAGAUAGAUUCUCUUACCCUCCCUGUGUGCUGCUAAUGUGGUACAAAGGGAGUGGACACCGGAUGAAUCCCCAUUGCUGGGGAUACCCCCAGUGUGAGGGUGUACCCAGCAGGCAUAGAGCCAAUGUCACUGGCUCAGACACCACCAUCUCUGGAGUGCCCAUGCAAGGAGAAUAUCAGGAAUGGGGUGAUGUAUGUCAGGGACAAGAAGAAGUGACGGGGGCAUGCUGUGUUCCAGCUAUGCUUAGCUGAUGGGCAAUUUCUAGAGAAUUGUUGCCAGUUGGAGUAUAUAAGUGUCUCUAACCUAAUCUAGGUGUCUCUAACCUGCACUGGCAGAGAAUUAUGGAGCCAUGCAUGCCUGUGUAAAUCUGGUGAAGCAGAAAA